CUGUUUUUCAAUUCUGUUUCAAUUUACUAUUUAGUUUUUAACAUUUUCACAAAGUGGGUUUAAAGACAUCCAGAUAUAGGAUUUGAUCCCUAAUGAUUAACAGUGGAAAGCUUGAGAGGAAUCAGAUUAAAAAGGGAACCCAUCCUAUUCUAGGUGACACCAGAGACUGGGAUUAAAAAAACUUUAAUUCAAACAGUAGUAUGUUGGGUGUAACAUACAACUGUAACAUAUAACAGUAUAGUGUGUUGGGUGAGAAUGUUUUAGAAUUAAUAAAUGAGAACAGGACACUAUAUAUGAUCACAGCAGCAUUUAUUAGCUCUACAGCAUAAACUGUUUAUUUCAUAUCUAUAUGGAACUAUCCACAGCAAGAGAAAGUGAUUGAUUAUUGCAAGAGAAAACAUUUGAACUGUUAAGUUUGGUAAAUCAUUUUUAAAAACCAUCUAUUCACACAGAUCCAUUUAACUAGAUUAAAACAAUAAUAUUAACAUGAACUAAGGUAAGGAGAAAGGCAGAUUUCCUUAGUUUUCAGCACACGAUAAGCAAGAAUUUGUUUGAAAACAAACACAAAAAAAUGAUUUCAUAACAGAUUAAAGUCUAACUGUCACAAGCGACUUUAGUCAAAGCCUUUAUGAAACCAGUAUUGCAGGAUUAUGACAUGCCUAUUGUAUUUCACACUUACCUGCGGAACUGGUAUGAUCUAACCAACCGUAUUUAAGAUUUAAAAUCAAGUUCUGAGUUCUGUUUAAGCUAGUUUAAAUACAACUGGUCUGAUCUGUUUGUUUGUUUCUGUUACCUUGCUGUCAGUGCCACCAGAAAGACAAAAUGGGGUUUAACCUCCAACUAAGAAGGUUUUAUUUACAUUAUGGUCAAUGAUCGAUGCUUCUGCUAGUAAACACUGAAAUAUGUGACAAUAUGUGAACCCAUGUUCUCUCUUUGGGUUUUCUCCAGAUGCUCCAGUUUUUUCUUAAUGUCCAAAAUUUAGGAUUGGCUAUGCUAAAGUGUCUAGGUGUGCAUGAGUGUAUGAAUGUGUGUGUAUGUGUGUGUGUGUGUGUGUGUGUGUGUGUGUGUGUGUGUGUGUGUGUGUGUGUGUGCAUGCCAAUCUAUAAUGGAUCAUCCCAUACAGUGAGUGCUCAUUCCACACACCAGUGUUAAUGGGAUAAGCCGAGUUACUGAAGAUGAAUGAAAUGCGAUCCCACAUUUAUUUAUCCAUUUGUAGCUUGUAUGUUUAUCAAGCUGAUGUAUAUAAUCUUUAUAUUUUUGUACACCAUGUGGUAUAGGGAUUCAUGUAAAAGUUCAUACUUUAAUGAGUAUUAAAGUUCAUACUUUAAUCAGUAUGGGAAAAACUCCUAAAGUUUAAUGAUAUAAAACUUUUCCUUGGCAGUAGGGAUAGUUUGAACCAUAGCUGACAAAAAUAUGAAGAUUAUCAUUAAUCUCAGUUUUAAUAGUAAUCUCAAUGAGACAUUUCCUCAUCCCAAUUUGUAAUGAAGCUGAGAUAUGUAUGCACAGUCCUGCAUCCAAUAGGCUAUCAGUGGAUGGAUGAGGCUUUGGGAAUAACCUUCUAGUGCCACUGCACAUUUGGCAGCUUUCAGUCAGCUGUUUGUGACAUAAUCUAAAGAGGAGGGACAUAACAGAUCACGCCACUGUUAGCCGGUUUAAGUACACACAUAAGGUUUCCUACUGACAAGCAAAAUUCAAGUAUUAUUCAAAGUCUCACUGUCUCUUUACAAUCAAUGAUAAACCAAACUGAUCAUUAAUAUCAAUCAAUGACAAACUAAUCCUGAUCAGUUAUUCCCCUAAUCUCUUGAACACCAAAGACAACUCAAAAGACCUCAUGACAUUGGGGAAAGCUUCAUGCUAUGUUAUGGAUACAAUGUUAUGGAUUUUCUGUCAACACAUUCUCCUGUCAAAUUAAGAUUAUACUGGAAUUUAUCCAUCCGAUAAGAUGCUGUGGCUCUGCAGGGUCUUCUACUUAUUAACACUGAGAUAAGGCACUUAGUGACAUACUAGCCUUGUGGCCUUGGCUAGUAAGGUGUGUACAAACCAGAUGAGCAAAGGUACAAGUAAGAAAUCUGCUGCAGAAGAUCCAUUUUACUGUGAAGGCAUGAAGUGAAACUUGAUUGAUGGUCUUGUAGAAGAUGGACCUAUCAUUGAUUCCUAUCUAAUGUAGUUUGAACCAAUUGUCAAUUGUCACCUUCCUGUACUGAAGAAUAAAUUUAUAAGACAUGUGUAUAUCUUUCUAUCCUACACUGAAAGCGUUUCAGAGACAGAGAGUUUUCUUCCGCACUGGAAGCGAUGAGCGUAAAGCAACCACAACAGAUGCUAU